AUACGGAGGGUGCAAGCGUUAAUCGGAAUUACUGGGCGUAAAGCGUACGUAGGCGGUUAGUUAAGUUAGAUGUGAAAGCCCCGGGCUUAACCUGGGAACUGCAUUUAAAACUGGCUAACUAUAGUUAACUAGAGGGGAGUGGAAUUUCAGGUGUAGCGGUGAAAUGCGUAGAGAUCUGAAGGAACACCAGUGGCGAAGGCGACUCCCUGGACUUGAACUGACGCUGAGGUACGAAAGCGUGGGUAGCAAACGGAAUUAGAAACCCUGGUAGUCC
rnacentral:rRNA from 1 species